UACGGGGGGGGCAAGCGUUGUUCGGAAUUACUGGGCGUAAAGGGCUCGUAGGCGGCCAACUAAGUCCGACGUGAAAUCCCAAGGCUUAACCUUGGAACUGCGUCGGAUACUGGAUGGCUUGAAUUCGGGAGAGGGAUGCAGAAUUCCAGGUGUAGCGGUGAAAUGCGUAGAUAUCUGGAGGAACACCGGUGGCGAAGGCGACGUCCUGGACCGGCAUUGACGCUGAGGCGCGAAAGCCAGGGGAGCAAACGGG
rnacentral:rRNA from 1 species